CUCUGUGACUCCUACGGGAGGCAGCAGUGGGAAUAUUGCACAAUGGGGGAAACCCUGAUGCAGCCAUGCCGCGUGUGUGAAGAAGGCCUUCGGGUUGUAAAGCACUUUCAGUAGGGAGGAAGGUAGUGUAGUUAACACCUGCACUAUUUGACGUUACCUACAGAAGAAGCACCGGCUAACUCCGUGCCAGCAGCCGCGGUAAUACGGAGGGUGCGAGCGUUAAUCGGAAUUACUGGGCGUAAAGCGCAUGCAGGCGGCCUGUUAAGUCAGAUGUGAAAGCCCGGGGCUUAACCUCGGAAUUGCAUUUGAAACUGGCAGGCUAGAGUCUUGUAGAGGGGGUAGAAUUUCAGGUGUAGCGGUGAAAAUGCGUAGAGAUCUGAAGGAAUACCAGUGGCGAAGGCGGCCCCCUGGACAAAGACUGACGCUCAGAUGCGAAAGCGUGGGGAGCAAACAGGAUUAGAUACCCUGGUAG
rnacentral:rRNA from 1 species